rnacentral:rRNA from 1 species
CAGCAGCCGCGGGAAUACGGAGGGUGCAAGCGUUAAUCGGAAUUACUGGGCGUAAAGCGUGCGUAGGCGGUUCGUUAAGUCUGUUGUGAAAGCCCCGGGCUCAACCUGGGAAUGGCAAUGGAUACUGGCGAGCUAGAGUGUGUCAGAGGAUGGUGGAAUUCCCGGUGUAGCGGUGAAAUGCGUAGAGAUCGGGAGGAACAUCAGUGGCGAAGGCGGCCAUCUGGGACAACACUGACGCUGAGGCACGAAAGCGUGGGGAGCAAACAGGAUUAGAUACCCGAGUAGUCCCUGUCUCUUAUAC